rnacentral:rRNA from 1 species
CUGGGCUGUAAACCUCUUUUCUCAAGGAAGAAGAUCUGAGGAACAUGAGGAAUAAGCCACGGCUAAUUCCGUGCCAGCAGCCGCGGUAAUACGGGAGUGGCAAGCGUUAUCCGGAAUUAUUGGGUGUAAAGCGUCCGCAGGCGGCCCUUCAAGUCUGCUGUUAAAAAGUGGAGCUUAACUCCAUCGUGGCAGUGGAAACUGUUGGGCUAGAGUGUGGUAGGGGCAGAGGGAAUUCCCGGUGUAGCGGUGAAAUGCGUAGAUAUCGGGAAGAACACCAGUGGCGAAGGCGCUCUGCUGGGCCAUAACUGACGCUCAUGGACGAAAGCCAGGGGAGCGAAAGGGAUUAGAUACCCCAGUAGUCGGCGGGGGCGGCGGGACGGGCGCGGGGCGCGGCGGGCGA